ensembl:lncRNA novel transcript
GGAUACUGUUUCCCUCCUCAGAGGGGUUUUCUGAGCUGCCCUGGGUCCUGUGAGGAAGGUCACUUGCUGAGGUACUGCAUGUGAAGACUUUGACAUUUGAAUUUUGAGGGGGCCACCGUUUAACCUGAACCACCAAGGACAGAGCCAAAGACCCUGGGUGACAGGCCCAGAACAGGACCUGGUGGAGGCUCUUCUUUAGGGGAGAGAGGGAAAUGGGAGCCACCACUGGCAGAGCCUGAAGGCAGGGCAGCCAGAAAGAAGCUGUGGGAGUCCCCACCAUGGAAGACCCUGCCGAGCAUCCUGUGUCUCCUGAAGCAGACCCUGACAUGAGGACUGGGGGCACGUGUUUAUUAAGGGCGAUCCCCGGAAGGAGGAGAUAACCAGAAGUCCUAGCAGAGUAUGCCCACGCUGGUUAGUGCUGCUGCAAAGAUGAGCCGAAGACCAUGAGAGACCUCCAGGUGGUCCUUCUGGGGAGAAGAAAUGGGUUUUGGCCCCAAAUCCUUCUGCUGCAUUUUUCCCCUAUCCCUGGGAAGCCAUGAGACCUCAAACCUGUGUUCCCAAGGAGGCGAGCUGCUGUUCCCAGGUGAUGAUAUGAUGUGCUUGGGGAAAGUAAGUGGCUGCCAGACAUGGCUGAGAGCUGUUGUCACUGCCGUCAAGUGCAUGUCUCCAAGCCAUAUCACACGGCGUCCCUCGAUGUGAGGCCACAUGGCAAGUGGGCCGUGGAUCUCCCUCUGCCCUUUGCAAGCACGUAAGACAGCAGAUUUUGCAGAUACCUUGUGGCGCAGGGGAAUUUCCUUUGGCCAGGUCUGAAGAAAUAAAGCAGCAGGCACCGAGAACAAAGCCAAGGCUUUCAAAAGACAAGGAGCCAAAAAACUUACUCAAAAUAAAAGUAGUUUUAAAA